rnacentral:rRNA from 1 species
GACGAACGCUGGCGGCGUGCUUAACACAUGCAAGUCGAACGGGCCUGUCUUCUUUUUUGGGGGGUGGGUUGAGUGGCGAACGGGUGAGUAUCACGUGAGUAACCUGCCCUUCGGUCCUGGAUAACCGCUUGAAAGGGCGGCUAAUACGGGGUGGUCCGGUUGGUCCGCAUGGGCUGGUCGGGAUAGAUUCACUGUUUUUGGUGUUUCGGCGGGGGAUGGGCUCGCGGCCUAUCAGCUUGUUGGUGGGGUGAUGGCCUACCAAGGCGGUGACGGGUAGCCGGCAUGAGAGGGUGGGCGGCCACACUGGGACUGAGAUACGGCCCAGACUCCUGCGGGAGGCAGCAGUGGGGGGUAUUGCACAAUGGGCGGAAGCCUGAUGCAGCGGCGUCGCGUGAGGGAUGGAGGCCUUCGGGUUGUGAACCUCUGUUUCCGGUGGUGAAGGCCCUGUCCGUGUGGUGGGGUUGACGGUAGCCGGGGAUGAAGCGCCGGCUAACUACGUG